CAGACUUGACAUGGUGCUGCACGCCAGUGAAAGCUGGUCGCCUUCGAGGGUGCACCACAGGUGCUGCAUGGCUGUCGUCAGCUCGUGUCGUGAGAUGUUGGGUUAAGUCCCGCAACGAGCGCAACCCCCGGGUCCUGUUAUACGUGUCAGGACCGACAGCCGGUGCCAACACCGGAGGAAGGCGGGGAUGACGUCAAGUCCGCAUGGCCCUUACGUCUGGGGCGACACAUACG
rnacentral:rRNA from 1 species